GACGAACGCUGGCGGCGUGCCUAACACAUGCAAGUCGAACGGAGUGAUGACUUCGGUUAUCACUUAGUGGCGAACGGGUGAGUAACGCGUGAGAAACCUGCCUUUCAGUGGGGGACAACAGUUGGAAACGACUGCUAAUACCGCAUAAUGUUAUCGAGCGGCAUCGCUUGAUAACCAAAGCUUUAUGUGCUGAAAGAUGGUCUCGCGUCUGAUUAGCUAGUUGGUGAGGUAACGGCUCACCAAGGCGACGAUCAGUAGCCGGUCUGAGAGGAUGAACGGCCACAUUGGGACUGAGAUACGGCCCAGACUCCUACGGGAGGCAGCAGUGGGGAAUAUUGGGCAAUGGGGGAAACCCUGACCCAGCAACGCCGCGUGAAGGAAGAAGGCCUUCGGGUU
rnacentral:rRNA from 1 species